rnacentral:rRNA from 1 species
UACGUAGGGUGCGAGCGUUGUCCGGAUUUAUUGGGCGUAAAGAGCUCGUAGGCGGUUUGUCGCGUCGGCCGUGAAAUCUCCACGCUUAACGUGGAGCGUGCGGUCGAUACGGGCAGACUUGAGUUCGGUAGGGGAGACUGGAAUUCCUGGUGUAGCGGUGAAAUGCGCAGAUAUCAGGAAGAACACCCGUGGCUAAGGCGGCUCUCUAGUACGGUACUGACGCUGAGACGCGAAAGCGUGGGGAGCGAACAGG